rfam:Brachypodium distachyon strain Bd21 chromosome 4, whole genome shotgun sequence.
UUGCUACUCCCUCCGUCCCAUAUUAAGUGACAAAAUAUUACAUGUAUCUAGACGCUUUUGGGUAUAUAUACAUUCAUAUUUGGGCAAAUUUGAGUCACUUAAUAUGGGACGGAGGGAGUAGAAU